GGUGGCGGAGCUACCAUGCAGUCGAGCGGAACGAUGGAAGCUUGCUUCCAGGCGUCGAGCGGCGGACGGGUGAGUAAUGCAUAGGAAUCUGCCCGAUAGUGGGGGAUAACCUGGGGAAACCCAGGCUAAUACCGCAUACGUCCUACGGGAGAAAGCAGGGGAUCUUCGGACCUUGCGCUAUCGGAUGAGCCUAUGUCGGAUUAGCUAGUUGGUGAGGUAACGGCUCACCAAGGCCGCGAUCCGUAGCUGGUCUGAGAGGAUGAUCAGCCACAUCGGGACUGAGACACGGCCCGAACUCCUACGGGAGGCAGCAGUGGGGAAUAUUGGACAAUGGGCGAAAGCCUGAUCCAGCCAUGCCGCGUGUGUGAAGAAGGCUUUCGGGUUGUAAAGCACUUUCAGUGGGGAAGAAAUCCUCGGGGCCAAUACCCUCGAGGGAGGACAUCACCCACAGAAGAAGCACCGGCUAACUCCGUGCCAGCAGCCGCGGUAAUACGGAGGGUGCGAGCGUUAAUCGGAAUUACUGGGCGUAAAGCGCGCGUAGGCGGCGUGAUAAGCCGGUUGUGAAAGCCCCGGGCUCAACCUGGGAACGGCAUCCGGAACUGUCAGGCUAGAGUGCAGGAGAGGAAGGUAGAAUUCCCGGUGUAGCGGUGAAAUGCGUAGAGAUCGGGAGGAAUACCAGUGGCGAAGGCGGCCUUCUGGACUGACACUGACGCUGAGGUGCGAAAGCGUGGGUAGCAAACAGGAUUAGAUACCCUGGUAGUCCACGCCGUAAACGAUGUCGACUAGCCGUUGGGGUCCUUGUGACCUUUGUGGCGCAGUUAACGCGAUAAGUCGACCGCCUGGGGAGUACGGCCGCAAGGUUAAAACUCAAAUGAAUUGACGGGGGCCCGCACAAGCGGUGGAGCAUGUGGUUUAAUUCGAUGCAACGCGAAGAACCUUACCUACUCUUGACAUCGUGCGAACUUUCCAGAGAUGGAUUGGUGCCUUCGGGAACGCACAGACAGGUGCUGCAUGGCCGUCGUCAGCUCGUGUUGUGAAAUGUUGGGUUAAGUCCCGUAACGAGCGCAACCCUUGUCCCUAUUUGCCAGCGAUUCGGUCGGGAACUCUAGGGAGACUGCCGGUGACAAACCGGAGGAAGGUGGGGACGACGUCAGGUCAUCAUGGCCCUUACGAGUAGGGCUACACACGUGCUACAAUGGCCGGUACAAAGGGUUGCGAAGCCGCGAGGUGGAGCUAAUCCCGAAAAGCCGGUCUCAGUCCGGAUCGGAGUCUGCAACUCGACUCCGUGAAGUCGGAAUCGCUAGUAAUCGUGAAUCAGAAUGUCACGGUGAAUACGUUCCCGGGCCUUGUACACACCGCCCGUCACACCAUGGGAGUGGACUGCACCAGAAGUGGUUAGCCUAACUUCGGAGGGCGAUCACCACGUGGUGCAUA
rnacentral:rRNA from 1 species